rnacentral:rRNA from 1 species
AUUGAACGCUGGCGGCAUGCCUUACACAUGCAAGUCGAACGGUAACGGGCCUUCGGGUGCCGACGAGUGGCGAACGGGUGAGUAAUGUAUCGGAACGUACCUUUCAGUGGAGGAUAACGUAGCGAAAGUUACGCUAAUACCGCAUAUUCUGUGAGCAGGAAAGCAGGGGAUCGCAAGACCUUGCGCUGAUUGAGCGGCCGAUAUCAGAUUAGCUAGUUGGUGAGGUAAAAGCUCACCAAGGCGACGAUCUGUAGCGGGUCUGAGAGGAUGAUCCGCCACACUGGAACUGAGACACGGUCCAGACUCCUACGGGAGGCAGCAGUGGGGAAUUUUGGACAAUGGGGGCAACCCUGAUCCAGCCAUGCCGCGUGAGUGAAGAAGGCCUUCGGGUUGUAAAGCUCUUUCGGCCGGGAAGAAAUCGUAUCAGCUAAUACCUGGUGCGGAUGACGGUACCGGCAUAAGAAGCACCGGCUAACUACGUGCCAGCCGCCGCGGUAAUAC